GCCCAUCCCGCGGGAGAGCGGAGCCUUUCAAGGGUUCCCGCCGAAGGCGCAAACUCCCAUAAUCGCUCAGGCAAUAAGUACCGCAGGUGGGUC
rfam:Comamonas testosteroni CNB-2, complete genome.